CAAACCCAUAGAUUGAUGAUUCUUUUUAUUUUUUCUCAUUUUUAUGUUACAUUUUUACUUAUAUUUUAUGCUUUUUCCCUAAAUAAUGGCAUGUGGAUCUGAUGGAAAAAUUCAAAUAUUGAACAUACAAAACGUCAAACUUACAGUUUCUUAUCAUUUUAAUGAAAGUAAAAUUAUAAGUAUAAAUUUGUCUGUAAUUUUUUUUUUUUUUUUUUUUUUUUUUUUUGGUGUGUGUUAGUUUUUUUUGUUGUAAACUACUAGACAUUCUCAUACCCAAGUACAGCAUGUUUCACCCAUUGAUACAUUUGAGUUAAGAUGUUCUAUUUAUUGUUUUAUGCUGGGAAGAAAAAUGAGACAAGGCAUGAAAAUCAAAAUUAGCAUAAAAAGGAAAAUCAUGUAAAUGAAAGAACAAUUAAUUCGUAGGAGCUUAAAUGCAAUAUUUUUGCAAAACUCAUUUUAAAAAUGCUUCCAAAAUAAUGAUGAAUAAAGUAAAAUAGAAGUUUUGCACAACUAAAAUUGAUGCAAAUAUAAUAGAUGCAGCAACUAUCAAAUUUAACACACAUUACAAUAUCAGAUGUCUUCUACUUUGAAAUUUGAUUUUUCACAUAAAAUGAUAAAUUUAUAGUUGGAUAGUCCUAUAUGCAAAAACAUGUGUAUCAACCAGUAAUAUUUAUGAUAAAAAUCAUGUAAGUUAUUGAUGAGGCUUCUUUCUAAGUAAUAGUAUUAUAUAUAUAUAUAUAUAUAUAUAUAUAUGUAUGACCCACUUAAGAUUUAAAUCCACACAACUAUUUCCACUUUGCUCAUCUUUUGCAUUUCCUAGGGCUUUGCACUCCCUCAUCAAUCUCUCAAUUUUGCAGUUAGUGAUGUGCUAAUUUUGUAAUCGGAUGAAACAAGUUGAAAGUAGAACUCUUGGAAAUAGUUGUAAUGGAGCACCUUGGAAAAAGAAUAUAGAAUCUAAUUGGAAGAAGUGAAUCAAUGAGGUAGAAGCACACAACAAGAAGACUAUUUUACAUUGGAGGGGAAGUUGAUGAGUAGUUAGAGAGGUAUUGGAGGUGAAUUGUGAAGAAGGAUAAACAAGAGAGGUAUUGCAAGAAGUGAAGUUUUUGACAAUGUCAAAUGAUAAAAAUGAUCAAUAACUAUUCGUAUUGUAUUAGAAUGGGACAAUUUAAUAUUCUUACACAGAUAUAUAUAUAUAUAUAUAUAUAAUCUCUUCUUCCUACCAAUUGAUGGUUUAAUAUGCUUCAAUAUGGUUAGAGCUCAUCUUGCAUGGUCAAAUUAUAAAAUACAAGUGCCACACCAAGGAUCUCGACCUUGUUGGGUAAAGAAUCAAUCUGCAUGGAUCAUUCACAACAUCUAAAAGGAACCUUGCAUCAUUUUAAUAUAUACUGGAAUUUCUCAUAACAUAUAUAUAUAUAUAUAUAUAUAAUUAUGGACCUACAUGAUGGCUUCAAAAAUAUCUAACAUAUUGACAUGAAAUUUAUUUUUUUUAUUUUUUGAAAAAGUCCUUCUGAGAAAGAAUUUAAAUAUAAACUCGAAUAUAAUUAAUGAUGUAAAUACAGUGUUGCAUUCUUGACUCCUUAUAAGUUCAAUUUUUUUGUAACUUG
rnacentral:lncRNA from 1 species